GAUGAACGCUGGCGGCGUGCCUAAUACAUGCAAGUCGAGCGAACAGACGAGGAGCUUGCUUCUCUGACGUUAGCGGCGGACGGGUGAGUAACACGUGGAUAACCUACCUAUAAGACUGGGAUAACUUCGGGAAACCGGAGCUAAUACCGGAUAAUAUAUUGAACUGCAUGGUUCAAUAGUGAAAGACGGUUUUGCUGUCACUUAUAGAUGGAUCCGCGCUGCAUUAGCUAGUUGGUAAGGUAACGGCUUACCAAGGCAACGAUGCAUAGCCGACCUGAGAGGGUGAUCGGCCACACUGGAACUGAGACACGGUCCAGACUCCUACGGGAGGCAGCAGUAGGGAAUCUUCCGCAAUGGGCGAAAGCCUGACGGAGCAACGCCGCGUGAGUGAUGAAGGUCUUCGGAUCGUAAAACUCUGUUAUUAGGGAAGAACAAAUGUGUAAGUAACUAUGCACGUCUUGACGGUACCUAAUCAGAAAGCCACGGCUAACUACGUG
rnacentral:rRNA from 1 species